rnacentral:rRNA from 1 species
ACACAGUUGNUGCAUGGCUGUCGUCAAGNUGGUNUCGUGAGAUGUUCGGUUAAGUCCGGCAACGAGCGCAAACCCACGUCUUUAGUUGCCAGCAUUCAGUUGGCACUCUAAGAAACUGCCGAUGAUAAGUCGGAGGAAGGUGUGGAUGACGUCAGUCCUCAUGGCCCUUACGGGUUGGGCUACACACGUGCUACAUGGCAGUGACAAUGGGUUAAUCCCAAAAAGCUGUCUCAGUUCGGAUUGGGGUCUGCAACUCGACNCCCAUGAAGUCGGAAUCNCUAGUAAUCGCGUAACAGCAUGA